rnacentral:rRNA from 1 species
UACAGAGGUCUCAAGCGUUGUUCGGAUUCAUUGGGCGUAAAGGGUGCGUAGGCGGCGCGGUAAGUCGGGUGUGAAAUCUUGGAGCUUAACUCCGAAACUGCAUUCGAUACUGCCGUGCUUGAGGACUGGAGAGGAGACUGGAAUUUACGGUGUAGCGGUGAAAUGCGUAGAUAUCGUAAAGAACACCAGUGGCGAAGGCGGCUCACUGGCCCGAUACUGACGCUGAGGCACGAAAGCGUGGGGAGCAAACAGG